AGCCUUGGCCGGGCCAGGGGCUGCAUUCUGCCACCUGGGCACCUUGUCUGUAGCUGGUGCCUUAGGCUUGGCCUCCUAAGGGGUGCACACCACUCAGUUCCUGGAUGCCUACUGGAAGGAGCUGUUUGACACGGCCAACACCCACCACUUCUCACAUAGCCUAGCCCUUCUGAGGGGGCUCCAUUGCAGAAGCCCUCUGGGCCAGGUGACUGUUUGCCUCUGAAACCACCUUAUUCUCAGCAGUUUUACUACCAGGCUCUGAGUGAAGACUGCAAUUGGCAGACUUGGCCUUCUGUAGGGGGAGUCGGCCACUCUUGGGCAGACUUGCCUUGGCUCUUUGA
rnacentral:lncRNA from 1 species